GGCAGAAACUGUACUUGGGCUCUUUUCAGAGUUGAGAUCUCUAGCUGGCCCCUGUACCACUCAUCUCUGCACUCAGUCCUUUAGAUAAGGUGAGUUACACACAGUGGGUACAGCAGCCAGAAGAAGACAGUCAGAUAUUCCAUUAGGCAUGGGUCCUCUAGUCAUCUAGCAUGAACAUAUAUUCAGAGUUAAAGCAGACCUCCAGAGUACAAAUCUAUUGUGCUUACCUCUCCCCCUUUCUUUACUUUACAGAUAUCAUAUGCUACUCCUCUUUCCUCCCUCCAGACUCUUUAUACCCCUCCUUGCUCUUUCAAAUUCAUGGCCACUUUUUUCAUUAAUUGUUAGGUGCAUAUAUGUGAAUGCAUAUAUGUAUUCUUAAAUAUAGUCUGCUCAGUCUGUAUGGUAACUAUUUAUAUUUUUCAGGACUGGCUACUUGGUCACUCUUUGGUCAGAAUACUGUUUCUCCUGCUCUCAAAAUUCCUUAGUUGCCUGUAGUUGUUUUCUAGGGUUGAGGCCUAGGCUUUCCCAACCCACUUUGGCACGCCUGUUGUUGGCCUUGUUCAGGCCUGUUUAGACAGUUGCAUUACUGAGAGCUUACGGGUAUAGCUUCUGAAAUUACUAGGAGACACGGUCUCUCCCUGAUCCUCUGCUCUUAAAAUCUCUAUACCCCUCUUCUGCAGUAUUCCCCGAGCCUUAGGUGUGGGAAUGUUUUGUAAAAGUGUGCAUGGGUCCUGGACUCCACAACUCUUCGUUUGAUUAGUUGUUGUGUUCUGUAAUGGUCUCCAUCUGUUGUAGAGAGAAGUUUGCUUCAUAAGGGAUAAGGUUACAUUUAACUGCAGAUAUAAGGACAAAUAUUUGAGUGUAUGGGAUUAUGCUGUUAGAACAGUGGUGGUUGGAGGUUCUUGUCUGAGAUCCAUGAGUUCACUAGCCUUGGGUAGCUGGCUAGGUUUCUAUUCCCCGGCAUGAUUUCCCUCUCGUUGAGCAAGUCUGAAGUCCAAUUCGAGAGCUUCAUAGUAGCUGGGUAGGAUCAUCUCUUGCUCCCCCCUUGCUUGUCUGUGGUCUUCUGGUCCCAUGAGAGCUAGUCCUCAGGGAAAGACCAUCUAAUUUUGCCAGUUCCAGCUCAGGGGCCUCUGAGCCCUGUGACUGAUAUGCAUGGUGUCUUCAGCAAAAGGGACUUAACUGCCACCUCUGGGGGUGACCGAGGGCCAUAGCAAUGUGCUGUAAUGUUCUGGGAGCUUCUUGGACAGCCUCCCCAGCAGCUCAAGAAGGCUUUUCAUGCCUGGUGUGGGGGUUUUGUUAGGUGGUCUUUGGCUCUUGGAGGGAGUAUUGUCAGCCAUGUGAAGAAAUUUAUAUAAUCUGUAUAUUUGUAAACAUAUUUAUAAGUUACGAGUUUUGGGGUUUUGUUGUUUUUUAAGGUAGAUGAUAGUUUGAUUCCUUAUGGCUUUCAGUAUUUUUUUUUUUUAAUUUCAGUGUGACUCUUUAUGGCUUUUUCAGAAAUCUUUAUUAUUAUUUUGCUUUCCUACUUCCUUAUUCUGUGUUUAUCUUCCUUCCCCUCUCUAAUGAGAGCAACCCCCAUCUUGCUUACCUGUAUUUUAACCUUGAUUUUAGUUUAAUAAUUGACUUUCCCUUUUUGUUCUUAAACUGUUGUUCAGCUGGGAGUGAUGACAUUACAUGUCCUUGAUCCCAGCACUCAGGAGGCAGGAGCAAGUGGGUUUCUGAGUUCAAGGCCAGCCUGGUCUAAAUAGUAAGUUUUAGGCUAACUGAGGCUAAAUAGUGAGACUCUGUCUCCAGGAAAAAAAAAGUAUUGCCAGCUUACUAUGGUUUAUGUCUGAUGGAGAUGUAUUGCUGUUAUUAAAAUGUUUCAUUAUAAUUUUGUCUCUAUUUCAGGGAUGGAGAAAGACAUCAUAGUCAUAAAAGAAGAAAGCAAAAAAUAUAAUCAGAUUGUAAAUGCAUUAAUUAUGCUUAUGAAAUAAAUAUGCUGAUAUUUAAUUAUUAUCUUUGCAUAGGAGAAAAUGGCUGUUAGGGUAGUGUAAUGCUUAUUACUUUAAUAAAUUCUUGAACCCACGGGUCAAAAUUGUACCUU
rnacentral:lncRNA from 1 species